CGACACCUUUUGCCCAGGCUUGCAGCCGCGGACACGAACCAGAUCCCGCCGGUGAUGGGGUUAUGCGUGUCGUUAGUUUAGUUUUACCAGAUCCCGGCGACCAGGCUGGGCUUAACCAGAGUAAUCCCUUCCGCCCCGCCCUAUCGCGCCCCUGGAGGAUUCCCACGGGAGCGGCGGCGGCGAGAGGCACGGCCCCGAUCUUCCCCUCAACCGCCGGGCGCCGCUUCCGGAGGGGGAGACGAUGCCGCUGCGGCGGCCGAGGGCGAGGCGCGGCGUGGCGGCCCUCAGCCAGGUCCACGCCGACCUCGCCGCGCGUCCUCCAGGAGCAGGAGAGGCCGUACAUGAUGCUGCGGAUGAACGAAGCCGGCGGCGGCGAGGGCAGCGAUUACGGGAGCUACAAGUACGAGGAGGAGCUGGAGCACCACCUCCGCCUCCGCCACCAGGAGCACCCGGGUGGCGUCGAUGGUGCUGCUGUGAUAUCGAGGCUGAGGGUGAGGACAAGUGCUAGGAUUGGACGAGCUCUCUGAGGAGAGUUGGGUACGAGGAGGAGGGGUUCGAUGAUGAGGAGGAGGUGGAGGAUGUGGAGCCAGAGCUAAACACUGCAGAGUACGAGGAUGACUAGGCCUAUGCGCGAGUGCUUCAGUACGCCAAGGAGCGUGAGGUCUCCGCGCAGCUUAUGGGCCCUCGCUGGGAUUCAGCGAUAUUUUCUUUAUGGAUUUUUUUUCCAGCUCAAUUCAUGUUUCCCUCGGACUGCUGAUGUGCACUUUUGCUUUAUAGGGCGGGCAGUGAGCAUGUCGAGGAUCACAUAAAUGACGUGCAGGAUUCAUGGCAAGAGGUUGAUCCAGAUGAGUACUCAUAUGAGGCAAGU